AACGAACGCUGGCGGCGUGGAUUAGGCAUGCAAGUCGAACGGAAUUCUUAGCUGUUUCGAGAAUUUAGUGGCGAAAGGGUGAGUAACGCGUGGGUAACCUGCCCAAAGGAUUGGGAUAACCUGUCGAAAGACGGGCUAAUACCGGAUAAGACCACGCUCCCGUAAGGGAGUGAGGUCAAAGAUGGGGACCGUAAGGCCUAUCGUCUUUGGAGGGCCCGUGUCCUAUCAGCUAGUUGGUGAGGUAACGGCCCACCAAGGCUAAGACGGGUAGCUGGCCUGAGAGGGUGGUCAGCCACAUCGGGACUGAGACACUGCCCGGACUCCUACGGGAGGCAG
rnacentral:rRNA from 1 species